rnacentral:rRNA from 1 species
AACGAACGCUGGCGGCAUGCCUAACACAUGCAAGUCGAACGAAGCCUUCGGGCUUAGUGGCGCACGGGUGCGUAACGCGUGGGAAUCUGCCCUUGGGUUCGGAAUAACAGUUAGAAAUGACUGCUAAUACCGGAUGAUGUCUUCGGACCAAAGAUUUAUCGCCCAAGGAUGAGCCCGCGUAGGAUUAGGUAGUUGGUGGGGUAAUGGCCCACCAAGCCGACGGUCCUUAGCUGGUCUGAGAGGAUGAUCAGCCACACUGGGACUGAGACACGGCCCAGACUCCUACGGGAGGCAGCAGUGGGGAAUAUUGGACAAUGGGCGAAAGCCUGAUCCAGCAAUGCCGCGUGAGUGAUGAAGGCCUUAGGGUUGUAAAGCUCUUUUACCAGGGAUGAUAAUGACAGUACCUGGAGAAUAAGCUCCGGCUAACUCCGUGCCAGCAGCCGCGGUAAAGUCUGUACU